rnacentral:misc_RNA from 1 species
CAGGCCUGUGGCCUCGCAAGUCAUUUCGGUGGCCACUCAUAUCCUAUCGUUCUUAUCUUCCCAUGUAUCUCCAGAGACUGGGCUCCUGCUUCGUGUUCGGGCGGGAUUCCAAGCCGAAUCUAGUGCGCGCGCCCUUCUUCUGCAGUCUGCACAGGGGUUUCUUCUGAAGCAAAAGCUGUUGUUUCCUGCCCCGCCCCGCCCCCAGGUCCUGCCAACGGAACUGCUGUUCUUUCGUCGCAAGGUGUUCCUCCCUUGCUCCUGCUACGUGAUGCAUGGAUGGAUGGCGCGCGCGCUCUCUCUCUCUCUCCCUCAACAUGUGAAGCAACUUUGGAAGAAGGAGAGGGGGGCCCCCCUUUUUAGCCUGCACUGUUGGAACAUGGGCAUCAGAUCCUUGCCGCGAGAAUCGAACCACUUCACGUGAAAUUGUCGCGAGCCAUUGUCUGCAUGCACACACAUGCCGUGCAAGUUCAUCGUUGCUGCAGGGAGCUAGCUCUCAUCUUUUGGACUAUAUGGGGUAUAUGAUAUGAACCCCACCAGAUGAGGGUAUCAAGCUAGGUGCUGUUCAGGUUUUCACUGCUUGGAACAACAGGAUGAAACUGUCAGCAAUAACGGCAUGUCUGCUGCCUCGAGGGUCGCCACCACGGCCAGCCAUCCAUGUGUUCUUUAGUGUCUACGCAUGGGCUGGUCCUUCACAGUAGUGCCCACACCGGAACGCCGACGCCGAGUGGUCCGUUUCGCUGCUGACGCGCGCCGGCGGCCGGCGUCUUCGUCUGCCGCAGCUGGCACUUCUCAAGUCACGUGCUGUGUGUAUGUAUGUAUAUAUUACGUCUAAACGUUCGAC